rnacentral:rRNA from 1 species
AUUGAACGCUGGCGGCAGGCCUAACACAUGCAAGUCGAACGAGUGGCGGGCGGGUGAGUAAUGUCUGUGAAACUGCUCGAUGGAUGGGGAUAACUCCGGGAAACGGUAGCUAAUCCGGCAUAGCAUCGGCUGUGCACAGAUGGGACUAGAUAGUAGGUGGGGUAACGGCUCACCACGGCGACGAUCCCUAGCUGGUUUGAGAGGAUGACCAGCCACACGGGAACUGAGACACGGCCCAGACUCCUACGCGAGGCAGCAGUGGGGAAUCUUGCACAAUGGGCGCAAGCCUGAUGCAGCCAUGCCGCGUGUGUGAUGAAGGCCUUCGGUUUGUAAAGCACUUUUAGCAGGGAAGCGGUACCUGCAGAAGAAGCCCCGGCUAACUACGUGCCAGCAGCCGCGGUAAUAC